rnacentral:rRNA from 1 species
GGGUUGUGAGGUUAAGCGACUAAGCGUACACGGUGGAUGCCCUGGCAGUCAGAGGCGAUGAAGGGCGUGCUAAUCUGCGAUAAGCGCCGGUAAGGUGAUAUGAACCGUUAUAACCGGCGAUACCCGAAUGGGGAAACCCAGUGUGAUUCGUCACACUAUCAUUAACUGAAUCCAUAGGUUAAUGAGGCGAACCGGGGGAACUGAAACAUCUAAGUACCCCGAGGAAAAGAAAUCAACCGAGAUUCCCCCAGUAGCGGCGAGCGAACGGGGAGGAGCCCAGAGCCUGAAUCAGCAUGUGUGUUAGUGGAAGCGUCUGGAAAGGCGCGCGAUACAGGGUGACAGCCCCGUACACAAAAGCGCAUGUGCUGUGAGCUCGAUGAGUAGGGCGGGACACGUGGUAUCCUGUCUGAAUAUGGGGGGACCAUCCUCCAAGGCUAAAUACUCCUGACUGACCGAUAGUGAACCAGUACCGUGAGGGAAAGGCGAAAAGAACCCCGGCGAGGGGAGUGAAAAAGAACCUGAAACCGUGUACGUACAAGCAGUGGGAGCACCCUUUGGGGUGUGACUGCGUACCUUUUGUAUAAUGGGUCAGCGACUUAUAUUCUGUAGCAAGGUUAACCGUAUAGGGGAGCCGGAGGGAAACCGAGUCUUAAUUGGGCGUUAAGUUGCAGGGUAUAGACCCGAAACCCGGUGAUCUAGCCAUGGGCAGGUUGAAGGUUGGGUAACACUAACUGGAGGACCGAACCGACUAAUGUUGAAAAAUUAGCGGAUGACCUGUGGCUGGGGGUGAAAGGCCAAUCAAACCGGGAGAUAGCUGGUUCUCCCCGAAAGCUAUUUAGGUAGCGCCUCGUGAAUUCAUCUCCGGGGGUAGAGCACUGUUUCGGCUAGGGGGCCAUCCCGGCUUACCAACCCGAUGCAAACUGCGAAUACCGGAGAAUGUUAUCACGGGAGACACACGGCGGGUGCUAACGUCCGUCGUGAAGAGGGAAACAACCCAGACCGCCAGCUAAGGUCCCAAAGUCAUGGUUAAGUGGGAAACGAUGUGGGAAGGCCCAGACAGCCAGGAUGUUGGCUUAGAAGCAGCCAUCAUUUAAAGAAAGCGUAAUAGCUCACUGGUCGAGUCGGCCUGCGCGGAAGAUGUAACGGGGCUAAACCAUGCACCGAAGCUGCGGCAGCGACACUGUGUGUUGUUGGGUAGGGGAGCGUUCUGUAAGCCUGUGAAGGUGUGUCGUGAGGCAUGCUGGAGGUAUCAGAAGUGCGAAUGCUGACAUAAGUAACGAUAAAGCGGGUGAAAAGCCCGCUCGCCGGAAGACCAAGGGUUCCUGUCCAACGUUAAUCGGGGCAGGGUGAGUCGACCCCUAAGGCGAGGCCGAAAGGCGUAGUCGAUGGGAAACGGGUUAAUAUUCCCGUACUUGGUGUUACUGCGAAGGGGGGACGGAGAAGGCUAUGUUGGCCGGGCGACGGUUGUCCCGGUUUAAGCGUGUAGGCUGGUUUUCCAGGCAAAUCCGGAAAAUCAAGGCUGAGGCGUGACGACGAGGCACUACGGUGCUGAAGCAACAAAUGCCCUGCUUCCAGGAAAAGCCUCUAAGCAUCAGGUAACACGAAAUCGUACCCCAAACCGACACAGGUGGUCAGGUAGAGAAUACCAAGGCGCUUGAGAGAACUCGGGUGAAGGAACUAGGCAAAAUGGGGCCGUAACUUCGGGAGAAGGCACGCUGACAUGUAGGUGAAGUGAUUUACUCAUGGAGCUGAAGUCAGUCGAAGAUACCAGCUGGCUGCAACUGUUUAUUAAAAACACAGCACUGUGCAAACACGAAAGUGGACGUAUACGGUGUGACGCCUGCCCGGUGCCGGAAGGUUAAUUGAUGGGGUCAGCGCAAGCGAAGCUCCUGAUCGAAGCCCCGGUAAACGGCGGCCGUAACUAUAACGGUCCUAAGGUAGCGAAAUUCCUUGUCGGGUAAGUUCCGACCUGCACGAAUGGCGUAAUGAUGGCCAGGCUGUCUCCACCCGAGACUCAGUGAAAUUGAACUCGCUGUGAAGAUGCAGUGUACCCGCGGCAAGACGGAAAGACCCCGUGAACCUUUACUAUAGCUUGACACUGAACAUUGAGCCUUGAUGUGUAGGAUAGGUGGGAGGCUUUGAAGCGUGGACGCCAGUCUGCGUGGAGCCGACCUUGAAAUACCACCCUUUAAUGUUUGAUGUUCUAACGUGGACCCGUAAUCCGGGUUGCGGACAGUGUCUGGUGGGUAGUUUGACUGGGGCGGUCUCCUCCUAAAGAGUAACGGAGGAGCACGAAGGUUGGCUAAUCCUGGUCGGACAUCAGGAGGUUAGUGCAAUGGCAUAAGCCAGCUUGACUGCGAGCGUGACGGCGCGAGCAGGUGCGAAAGCAGGUCAUAGUGAUCCGGUGGUUCUGAAUGGAAGGGCCAUCGCUCAACGGAUAAAAGGUACUCCGGGGAUAACAGGCUGAUACCGCCCAAGAGUUCAUAUCGACGGCGGUGUUUGGCACCUCGAUGUCGGCUCAUCACAUCCUGGGGCUGAAGUAGGUCCCAAGGGUAUGGCUGUUCGCCAUUUAAAGUGGUACGCGAGCUGGGUUUAGAACGUCGUGAGACAGUUCGGUCCCUAUCUGCCGUGGGCGCUGGAGAACUGAGGGGGGCUGCUCCUAGUACGAGAGGACCGGAGUGGACGCAUCACUGGUGUUCGGGUUGUCAUGCCAAUGGCACUGCCCGGUAGCUAAAUGCGGAAGAGAUAAGUGCUGAAAGCAUCUAAGCACGAAACUUGCCCCGAGAUGAGUUCUCCCUGAGACUUAAAGUCUCCUGAAGGAACGUUGAAGACGACGACGUUGAUAGGCCGGGUGUGUAAGCGCAGCGAUGCGUUGAGCUAACCGGUACUAAUGAACCGUGAGGCUUAACCUUACAACGCCGAAG